rnacentral:rRNA from 1 species
CCUACGGGUGGCUGCAGUAGGGAAUAUUGGACAAUGGGUGCAAGCCUGAUCCAGCCAUGCCGCGUGCAGGAAGACGGCCUUCUGGGUUGUAAACUGCUUUUUUCAGGGGAUAAAAGGCCCGUGCGCGGGACAUUGAAAGUACCUGGAGAAUAAGCCACGGCUAACUACGUGCCAGCAGCCGCGGUAAUACGUAGGUGGCACGCGUUGUCCGGGUUUAAUGGGUUUGUAGGCUGCUACUUAAGCCACUUGUGAAAUACGGCAGCUUAACUGUCGAGGUGCCAUUGAUACUGGGUAGCUUGAGUACUGAUGAGGUAGGCGGAAUGGACGGUGUAGCGGUGAAAUGCUUAGAGAUCGUCCAGAACACCGAUAGCGAAGGCAGCUUACUAAGGAGUAACUGACGCUGAGGCACGAAAGUGUGGGGAUCAAACAGGAUUAGAUACCCCGGUAGUC